AGAAAUGAGGAUGCAGAAUACAUUACCAUCUCAUUAGAACAAAUUCAACAACAUAAUGGACCAAUAUAUCAACAACAACAUAAAUAAAUACAGGAACAUGAAUGAACUAAAGUGAUUACUUCAUCUUCAUCGGGUUCAGUCAUACAAGCAGCCGCGAUUUUAUCAAUUGUCCUUGGACGAAUCAAACUUUAACAAAUCUAACAAGUAUCACAUUUAACUCGACCAAUCCCUUAAAACUAUAUUGAGCAAAAGUAGACAUAAUAGUUCUCACACCGUUGUCGCUUUCAAAUUUCAUUUUGGUGAACCGAACACCUCCGUAUGAGUAUAUUGACGAAUAACGAUGCUCAACAUUGAUCACCCUUCUUGUAUCACCAUAGUUGGGUCGACCAUUUAGUUGGUCCUUCAGAUCAUAUAUUGUAACAUCAAAUUGAUCCUAAACAAUGUGGGUUUCUCCUUGUUGCAUUGUAGUAAACUACAACUAUUUUGAAAAGAGUUAUUGUUCUAGGAU
rnacentral:lncRNA from 1 species